UUAGGUUUUAUUUGUCUGUGCCGUUGAUUUCUGAUAGCCGCCCACUGUGAAAGCGACUGUUUGAGGGUUCUGGUUUCUUUAUUUAUCUUUGUUUAUCUUUGUUUUGAACUGAGCUUCUUCAGUUGUUCAGAACCUUUUCUUUGUUUGUAUCAUUAGCUGCCACAAUUACCAGUUAAUUCGAUUAAUCUCUACGAACCUAUUUCAUUUUGAGAAAGCUUGACUCUGCUUAUUCAUUUUCUUGCCUGAAUCGUUGCGAAUCUUUGGAUUGAAAUAAAAUAUUAAGAGGCUGCAAUUUCUUUUCGUUUUUUUUUAUGCAUAUUUUGUCUGCUGCUCGUGUUUGAUUUUCAAGUCCCGUUUUCUGUAAGCAUCACGAAGCAAUUGCUACAACCCAUUUGGAUCUAUUAUUGUGGGAAUCUCUAGCGUAAUUAAUCCAUGUAGUUUUAGGGGUUUUUUCGAGAAAUGAAAAGUUCAAUCUUACUAAUGUAAGAUAAUUACAGCACUGUGUGGUGCAGGAAAUGAAUUGAAACGAAUUAGAGAUUAGAUGGCUGCUUUGGGAAUUGACUAGCAGUGUUAAUGGAAAUUAGUUUCUUAUUUGGUUGAUGUCCUUUUUUGUGCAAGAUUAGUAGUUGUGAUCUUUUCUUAAGUGCUGUUUGCUGCAGAAUUGGUAUGUAGAUGAUGUUUCCCAGUUGAAUGUGUUCGUAUAAUAGUGAGAGGUCUUUGAUAUAUGCUCAUAUGUAAAAUGCUGAUAAGUUUGAAUAAAACUCCAGUUUGUAAGUUAUUUUUUCCUGUAAAUGCAGAGAUUGUGGGCAAAGUCUUGCAUGCUGACUGAGACAGCCAAAGAUUCGUUGCAGCAUAUGUUCGCCUUCUCUUUGUUUGGAAUAAUAACUAUGAAUAGUAUUCAGCAAUUGAACUAUUGUUUUUGUGCAGAAGAGGGUAACUAUCUAGGCAAAUUUGGCUUUGUGAUUCUGAUAUCAUUUGCUCCGUGUUGAGAAACAGGGAUGGAAUGGAAUGGAUUGGAUUGCUUUGCUUGAGUUACUCAACCAUAUAUGCUGUUUAGGAGAGUAAACCGAUUGCGAUCUCUUAAUUAAUAAUCACUAUAACAAUAGCUUCUUUCAUGAUUUAGAGACACAAUUGUAGUGAUUUGAUGCCCUUCUCGCAGCUGUACAAUAGUUAAAUGCUUUGCUAAACUAAAACGAUUGCAUUAACUUCUUCUUUUAUACUAUAAUCAAGAGAUGUUUACCUCUAAUCUUACAUAAUCCCUUUUGUGAUCUAACCUUAGAAGCUGCUUGCUUGGAUCCUGCAUGCCUAGUCGUCAUUUUCUCUCCAACAGAUUAGCAUGUAGAGGCACUGGCGUAUAAUGUACAGCCUCGCCCUUUGCUCCUUGAGAGCCUCGCAUCUUGGAACGUAGAUUCGGCUGUUCCUUUGCCUGUAUCGAACUGACUCCCCCAUUGAUAUAUCUUCUUGUUUUUCCUCUUUCAAAGUAAACUUUACCUGUAAGGAGUUGUUAUUGUGGUGGGAAUUUACUAAGACUGUCUUGAAAAAUGGUUUUUAUUGUGUUGAAAGUCCAAAGACUGUUAGAUGCCUCACUUUUGUGCAGUGAAUUAGGGUCCUUGUUUCCUGCUUUCAAGAGGGGAAUUUCGCAAUGUGUCGAAUAAGCCUGCUUUCCUGUUCACACCUGGCCAACUAAAUAAGGGGAUUGGUUCAUCUAUCACCACUGCAUCUUUUAAGGCAACCACCAUUAAUGCUGAGCAACGUGGUCUGUGUUGGUUAAUGUUAAACUUAGUUAGCACAUUUCAUGCUUAAUUAUGGAACCUGUAUUCAAAUGCUAGAAAAUUGUGAAUCACUCUCGCUCUCGCCAUUCAGCAGUAUCCCUGUUUUUGCAUUCUGUUCA